GUGCCAGCAGCCGCGGUAAUACGGAGGAUCCAAGCGUUAUCCGGAAUCAUUGGGUUUAAAGGGUCCGUAGGCGGUUUUUUAAGUCAGAGGUGAAAUCCUGCAGCUCAACUGUAGAAUUGCCUUUGAUACUGAAAGACUUGAGUUAUUGUGAAGUGGUUAGAAUGUGUGGUGUAGCGGUGAAAUGCAUAGAUAUCACACAGAAUACCAAUUGCGAAGGCAGAUCACUAACAAUAUACUGACGCUCAGGGACGAAAGCGUGGGUAGCGAACAGGAUUAGAUACCCUGGUAGUCCACGCCGUAAACGAUGGAUACUAGCUGUAUGUCUACUUCAGGUAGAUGUGUGGCUAAGCGAAAGUGAUAAGUAUCCCACCUGGGGAGUACGAUCGCAAGAUUGAAACUCAAAUAAAUUGGCGG
rnacentral:rRNA from 1 species